rnacentral:rRNA from 1 species
AACUGCCAGUAGUGAUAUGCUYGUCUCAAAGAUUAAGCCAUGCAUGUCUAAGUACACGCCGUAUCAAGGCUAGACCGCGAACGGCUCAUUAAAUCAGUUAUGAUUCACUUGAUCUGAAUCCGAAUUACUUGGAUAACCCUGGUAAUUCUAGAGCUAAUACAUGAACCACUUAAUCCGACCGCAAGGGAGGACUGCUUUUAUUAGAUGAAAAACCAACCGGGCUUCGGUCCGCACUACUGUUAUGUUGAAUCUGAAUGACUUUGUGCUGAGAGCACGGCCUCCGCGCCGGCUCCGUAUCUUUCGAGUUUCUGCCUUAUCAUGCUAGAUUGUAGGCUACGCGCCUACUGUGGCUGCCACGGGUAACGGAGAAUCAGGGUUCGAUUCCGGAGAGGGAGCCUGAGAAACGGCUACCACAUCCAAGGAAGGCAGCAGGCACGCAAAUUACCCACUCCCAGCACGGGGAGGUAGUGACGAAAAAUAACGAUGCGGUACUCUUCGGAGUAUGCGUAAUUGGAAUGAGUACACUUUAAAUCCUAUAGCAACAACCGAUUGGAGGGCAAGUCUGGUGCCAGCAGCCGCGGUAAUUCCAGCUCCAAUAGCGUAUAUUAAAGUUGUUGCGGUUAAAAAGCUCGUAGUCAGAGCUUCGCUCCGGAGUGGUCGGGUAGGUGGCCGCCCGGCCGUCGACCCGUAAACUCCGGACUGCUUCCUCGCCCAGAGGAAGCGCCAGCCGGUUUCGGGCGGGGUGCUCUUCACCGAGUGUCCCGCGCGACCGGCCGUUUUACCUUGAAUAAAUGAGAGUGCUCAAAGCAGGCUACUCUUAAAAAUAAAGCCCGAAUGAUACCUGCAUGGAAUAAUGGAAGAUGAUCUCGGUUCCAUUUUGGUUGCGUUAUGGAACCCGAGUUAAUGAUGAAGCGGGACUGCCGGGGGCAUCCGUACUACGGCGCGAGAGGUGAAAUUCUGUGACCGUCGUAGGACGAACAACAGCGAAAGCAUUUGCCAAGAAUGUUUUCCUUGAUCAAGAACGAAAGUUAGAGGAUCGAAGGCGAUCAGAUACCGCCCUAGUUUUAACCGUAAACGAUGCUAACUAGUAAUCCGCCGUCGUUAUACCCAUGACGCGGCGGGACACCCCCGGGAAACCUCAAGUCUUUGAGUUCCGGGGGUAGUAUGGUUGCAAAAUUGAAACUUAAAGGAAUUGACGGAAGGGCACCACCAGGAGUGGAGCCUGCGGCUUAAUUUGACUCAACACGGGGAACCUCACCAGGCCCGGACACUAGAAGGACUGACAGAUUAAGAGCUCUUUCUCGAUUGGGUGGAUGGUGGUGCAUGGCCGUUCUUAGUUGGUGGAGUGAUUUGUCUGGUUAAUUCCGGUAACGAACGAGACUCUGGCCUAUUAAAUAGUCGACGGGUGCCCGACCAAGGCGGGCCUCGUCCGAAAAUUGUCUUCUUAGAGGGAUGAGCAGCGAGUAUAGCUGCAGGAGAUUGAGCAAUAACAGGUCUGUGAUGCCCUUAGAUGUACUGGGCCGCACGCGCGCUACACUGAAUGGGUCAGCGGGUCUUCCUUCUCCGAGAGGAGCGGGAAAUCGCUUGAAAACCAUUCGUGAUAGGGAUUGGGGCUUGCAAUUUUUCCCCAUGAACGAGGAAUUCCCAGUAAGCGCGAGUCAACAGCUCGCGUUGAUUAAGUCCCUGCCCUUUGUACACACCGCCCGUCGCUACUACCGAUUGAAUGAUUUAGCGAGGCCUUCGGACUGGCGGUCUUGGACUGGGUUCCGUUCGUCCUCGUGGCGUCGGACCCGCCUCGACGAGCCGGAAAGAUGUCCAAACUUGAUCAUUUAGAGGAAGUAAAAGUCGUAACAAGGUUUCCGUAGGUGAACCUGCGGAAGGAUCAAG